UCCUGGGUAGUGCACAUGGUAAACACAUUCGGCUGCUAACUGAAAGGCUGGAGGUUCAAGUCCACCCACAGGCA
rnacentral:tRNA from 1 species